GAUCAUCUUGGUCUCUCUUAUUUUCUCUGUCCAUGCAGUCAUUUCCAAAAUCCAUAUGUUUUCUAUAAGACCCUGAGCAAAUUCUUCAAUAAGUUGGAGCUGUUGGAAUAGUAUGCAAUAUUGAAGGUAUUACUGUAGGUGGGCCUGAAAUGUGGACACCACACAUUGUAUCCUGCUCGUCUCCACUAUGAAUGCAUGUGGUAAUCAUUUUAAACUUACAACUUCAUGGACCACACCAGUGGUAGGUGAUCCUAACUGUUCGUUCGGUGGCCUGCAAUUGAAUGAUCUGAACCUAACAAGCUUCCUCUUUAUUUUUUUUCUGUUUUUUCGAACCGCCAUGUUCGGGCACGAAUCCAAUGUUUAGCCUCCGGUUGAUUCAAUAUGUACAUUGUAGCCCAUUUAUUUGUACAUUGGAUGGAUGGUCUGGAUCAUGUCAACUUAUGUGGUGUGAUGGUGUUCAAUAUUUAUUCAGCUCCAAUGUUUACUUUA